AUGUUUACUUCAAAAGACAUCAUCAGAUCCAAGUGUCCUGAAGAAGAGCUCUUCGUCUGGCUGAGGCCCAGUGAUGAGAUGCUGUGUCUAUAUGAAUUCAGGAUUUGAGCUCGAUCACAUCUGGACAUCUUGAAAUACAGGAAGCACAGAAGAAAACUUUUGAAUAAAGAAAAUGUGAACAUAUGUCUUCUGUAUUGGAAAAAGAAUCUCUAUGAAGUUCAAUAUCUGCCAUGAGUAGGUGGCUGUCAGUGCAUGUGGGAGAGCACUUGGUUACAUCAGGAAUUCUUGCUUCAUGAGUGAGAUGAGUGAAGGAAAAACUCCCACCAACACACAUUUUUUCAGCCUAUUUAAAUAGACUUGGCAAUACUAAAGAGAAGAUAAUAAUCUGGACACCCACAGACCGAGGGCCUACUCAUGCCUUCUACAUCUACACAGAGAAAGCAGAAGUCAUCCAACUCUGCUGCUGCAACUCUACUGUUUCCUCAAAUUUAGAAAGUCAAUUUCUUUCUUCCAAGGGCCAUGUGACCUCCGAGGUAAAGGCCUCCACUAAGAGUGGUGCCAUUUGGGAUCAGCUGUGGUCACCCAUUAGUAUCACAGUAAUUUGGCAGAAGCUGACACAUGCUUAUUGAAGACUGUAUGAACAAGGACCACCUUGACUGCCAAGCAAUUCUAAAGUCAAGAACUCUGGCAAAGCUGAACGUCUUUUGUGAGCCUCUAUAUAGAGUUCGUUUGAUACCUAUGGUCUGAAUCCUUGGUCAGUUUUAAAAGAGAGGAAUAAAAUUGUACCUUUCAGGAAAACAAGAAGUUGAAUAUGGGAAACAUCCAUUCCCCAUUCUCAUGAAAUUUUCCUUAAAAGGAAGUACAUGGAACCUGGACGACAACUUGAAUGUGAAAUGUUGGCAUCAUGUUUAGUGGCUAGUUACAUAUUUUUGUGGCUUUUCUGUGACAUUUCUGUGUCCAAAACUUGUGUUUUAUGAUGCCAAAACAGCCACUUCAGAAGAGACUAAAUCUUUUAAUGUUUUUAUGAUGUCAUUAGGAUAUGAAAGAAUGAUGGAAAAACUUCAAUGAAAGUCCAUAGAGAUUGUUUUUAGCUGUCCUUAUAAUGUAUCAUAGCAUCCCCAUCAAAUCUGGUGAGAUUCUGUUAGGAAUUGUUCUGGGGAUGGAACAAACUUUUUCUAUUGCCUCUUUCAUAUUCUAGGUAACAGAAGGCAGUUUACAACUAAGUCAUUAUAGCUGUAGAAUGCUGUCAGUUGUAUUUUUUAUUUUGCUUUGAAAGCAGCAAUGCAAGUGCCAAGGACAGAAUCUUGACACGAUACGUUGUUUAAAUGAUGGCAUAUCAAAGGGAACAGAAAUAUGUGCCAAGCUACAAGUAUGUGAAUAAGCACCUUGUCCAACACAUUGACAACUGUGUAUUACAAUGACAAACAUCUAAUUUUAAUUCAGGUAGGAAAGAUAUCACACUAAUUUUAAUAAUUUCAUUUAGCUAAGUUGUGGAAUGUAUUGCCAGAGAGUUUACAAUACCAAAAGUGUAGAUGCUUUUAACUGGACAAUUGUCACAUUCAUUGCAUAGAAAUCUUUGGAGGUUUGUUAGAUACAGAGAAACAGUUCAUUCAGGAACUUCUGAGCCUCUAACAGGAGUCUCUGGAAGAAUAUUCAGAACAACUGUAGCUUACAGAACUUUUAUUCUGUUCUUCUUUUAUUCUGUUCUUCUGCUAAGCAUCUACUUCUGCUCAUUGCUGAAGGCAACUGAGCUGUGUGAACCUUUGGUUUGCCCUAGUACAACUACACAUUUUUUUGACAUCUAAUGUGAAAUACUGUAAUAUUGCCAUAGCAAUAAUAGUGUUAAGAACAUAGUUAUCUGCAAACUCUGAAGAAGCUGACUAAUUAUUUCCUCAUCCAUUGCUAUUACCAUGCUGCCUAGGAUCAAUCAGAUGGAUAGCAUGUACUAACACCUACUUUCUCAGAUUCUCUGCAAAGAGAAAUAAAGUGAACCCUCUUCCCAAAAAACUUACAUAGGGGAAAACAGACACUUAGACCCAAAAUCAAAGCAGGUACAAAAAUAAAGGCAACAACAGAUAGCCCAAAAUACAAUGGGUUUAGUGCUACAACAGCUUAAUUACAAAGAUUCUUUUUUAGCCAUAAAAUAAACAAGAAACAUUUUGGAUAAUAUAUUAGCUGGCAGAUGUUUAUGGAGAGCACAUUCCCACAUGAGACUGAAUGUAAGGAAGCAUGAAAGUUCUUUCAGAGAUGAAAUAUGACAUAAGUGAUUGGUCAAAUGUGAAAGUCAACAUUUCAGUAAUUAAUCAGUAAUUCAUAAGAACUAGUAUGAGGAGAUCUGAUCAGUCACACAUAUUCCAUUUCAAAAUCAAAGGGAAAUCAAAUUCUCCUUAGCCUUAACCUAAUGAUGCUGUAUGUAUGCUGAACUAUAUGUAUGCUUUCAAAUUUUGUCUUUUAAUAUAUCACUUAUUGCAAAAAUAGUGUACAA